UUUGGUUUCUGCAGCUGGGUGACUUGUUUGCCGUUCUGGUAGUGGGUUUCAUGAACCUUGAACCUCCACACAUAA